rnacentral:rRNA from 1 species
CCAGACUCCUACGGGAGGCAGCAGUGGGGAAUAUUGCACAAUGGGGGAAACCCUGAUGCAGCAACGCCGCGUGAGUGAAGAAGUCAUUCGUGAUGUAAAGCUCUAUCAGCAGGGAAGAAAAUGACGGUACCUGAGUAAGAAGCCCCGGCUAACUACGUGCCAGCAGCCGCGGUAAUACGUAGGGGGCAAGCGUUAUCCGGAUUUACUGGGUGUAAAGGGAGCGUAGACGGCCAGACAAGUCUGAAGUGAAAAUCCAGCGCUUAACGUUGGAAGUGCUUUGGAAACUGCCGGGCUAGAGUGCAGGAGGGGCAGGCGGAAUUCCUAGUGUAGCGGUGAAAUGCGUAGAUAUUAGGAGGAACACCAGUGGCGAAGGCGGCCUGCUGGACUGCAACUGACGUUGAGGCUCGAAGGCGUGGGGAGCAAACAGGAUUAGAUACCCGAGUA